AUGGGAUCUCUAUGGGGUGGCUAUGGGGUCUCUAUGGGAUCUCUAUGGGCCGGAUAUAGGGCCUCUAUGGGGUGGCUAUAGGGUCUCUAUGGGGUGGCUAUGGGGUCUCUAUGGGCCGGAUACGGGGUCUCUAUGGAGUGGCUAUGGGGUGGCUAUGGGGUCUCUAUGGGGUGGCUAUGGGGUCUCUAUGGGAUCUCUAUGGGAUAUGGGGUCUGUAUGGGGUGUCUAUGGCAUCUCUAUGGGGUGGCUAUGGGGCUCUAUGGGGUGGCUAUGGGGUCUCUAUGGCCUCUCUAUGGCCUCUCUAUGGGGUGACUACGGAUCUCUAUAGGGUCUCUAUGGGGUCUCUAUGGGAUCUCUAUGGGAUAUGGGGUCUCUAUGGGGUGACUAUGGGGUGGCUAUGGGGUCUCUAUGGGGUGGCUAUGGGGUCUCUAUGGGAUCUCUAUGGGAUAUGGGGUCUCUAUGGGGUGUCUAUGGCAUCUCUAUGGGGUGGCUAUGGAUCUCUAUGGGAUCUCUAUGGGCCGGAUAUAGGGCCUCUAUGGGGUGGCUAUAGGGUCUCUAUGGGGUGGCUAUGGGGUCUCUAUGGGGUCUCUAUGGGAUCUCUAUGGGGUGACUAUGGAUCUCUAUAGGGUCUCUAUGGCAUCUCUAUGGGGUGGCUAUGGGGUCUCUAUGGGGUGGCUAUGGGGUCUCUAUGGGCCGGAUACGGGGUCUCUAUGGAGUGGCUAUGGGGUGGCUAUGGGGUCUCUAUGGGAUUUCUAUGGGAUAUGGGGUCUGUAUGGGGUGUCUAUGGCAUCUCUAUGGGGUGGCUAUGGAUCUCUAUGGGGUCUCUAUGGCAUCUCUAUGGGGUGGCUAUGGAUCUCUAUGGGAUCUCUAUGGGCCGGAUAUAGGGCCUCUAUGGGGUGGCUAUGGGGUAUCUAUGGGGUCUCUACGGGGUCUCUAUGGGGUCUCUAUGUGAUCUGUAUGGGGUGGCUAUGGGAUCUCUAUGGGCUGGAUAUGGGGUCUCUAUGGGGUCUCUAUGGGAUCUUUAUAGGAUCUCUAUGGCAUCUCUAUGGGGUGGCUAUGGCUUCUCUAUGGGGUGGCUAUGGGGCUGUAUGGGAUCUCUAUGGGGUCUCUAUGGGAUCUCUAUGGGAUAUGGGGUCUGUAUGGGGUGUCUAUGGCAUCUCUAUGGGGUGGCUAUGGGGUCUCUAUGGGGUGGCUAUGGGGUCUCUAUGGGGUGGCUAAGGAUCUCUAUGGGAUCUCUAUGGGCCGGAUAUAGGGCCUCUAUGGGGUGGCUAUAGGGUCUCUAUGGGCUGGAUAUGGGGUCUCUAUGGGGUGGCUAUGGGGUCUCUAUGGGGUGGCUAUGGGGUCUCUAUGGGGUCUCUAUGGGAUCUCUAUGGGGUGACUAUGGAUCUCUAUAGGGUCUCUAUGGCAUCUCUAUGGGGUGGCUAUGGGGUGUCUAUGGGAUCUCUAUGGGGUCUCUAUGGGAUCUCUAUGGGUUAUGGGGUCUCUAUGGGGUGCCUAUGGCUUCUCUAUGGGGUGGCUAUGGGGCUCUAUAGGGACUCUAUGGGAUCCCAAUGGGGUGGGUAUGGGGUCUCUAUGGGGUGGCUAUGGAUCUCUAUGGGGUGGCUAUGGGGUCUCUAUGGGGUCUCUACGGGGUCUCUAUGGGGUGGCUAUGGGGUGGCUAUGGGGUCUCUAUGGGCUGGAUAUGGGGUCUCUAUGGGGUGGCUAUGGGGUGGCUAUGGGGUCUCUAUGGGGUGGCUAUGGCAUCUCUAUGGGAUCUCUAUGGGGUCUCUAUGGGAUCUCUAUGGGUAUGGGGUCUCUAUGGGGUGCCUAUGGCUUCUCUAUGGGGUGGCUAUGGGGCUCUAUGGGGUGGCUAUAGGGUCUCUAUGGCAUCUCUAUGGGGUCUCUAUGGCAUCUCUAUGGGGUGGCUAUGGGGUCUCUAUGGGAUCUCUAUGGGGUAUGGGGUCUGUAUGGGGUGUCUAUGGGAUCCCUAUGGGGUGGCUGUGGGGCUCUAUGGCCUCUCUAUGGCCUCUCUAUGGGGUGACUACGGAUCUCCAUAGGGUCUCUAUGGGGUCUCUAUGGGAUAUGGGGUCUCUAUGGGGUGCCUAUGGCAUCUCUAAGGGGUGGCUAUGGGGCUCUAUGGGGUGGCUAUGGGGCUCUAUGGGGUGGCUAUGGAUCUCUAUGGGAUCUCUAUGGGCCGGAUAUAGGGCCUCUAUGGGGUGGCUAUGGGGUCUCUAUGGGGUCUCUACGGGGUCUCUAUGGGGUCUCUACGGGGUCUCUAUGGGAUCUGUAUGGGGUGGCUAUGGGAUCUCUAUGGGCUGGAUAUGGGGUCUCUAUGGGGUCUCUAUGGGAUUUUUAUAGGAUCUCUAUGGCAUCUCUAUGGGGUGGCUAUGGCUUCUCUAUGGGGUGGCUAUGGGGCUGUAUGGGAUCUCUAUGGGGUCUCUAUGGGAUCUCUAUGGGAUAUGGGGUCUGUAUGGGGUGUCUAUGGCAUCUCUAUGGGGUGGCUAUGGGGUCUUUAUGGGGUGGCUAUGG
ensembl:lncRNA